rnacentral:tRNA from 1 species
UCCUUGGUGGUCCAGUGGCUAAGACUCUGUGCUCCCAAUGCGAGGGGCCAGGUUCCAUCCCUGGUCAGGGAA